rnacentral:rRNA from 1 species
UACGUAGGGUGCGAGCGUUGUCCGGAAUUAUUGGGCGUAAAGAGCUCGUAGGCGGCCUGUCGCGUCUGCUGUGAAAUCCCGGGGCUUAACCCCGGGCGUGCAGUGGAUACGGGCUGGCUGGAGGCAGGCAGGGGAGAACGGAAUUCCCGGUGUAGCGGUGAAAUGCGCAGAUAUCGGGAGGAACACCGGUGGCGAAGGCGGUUCUCUGGGCCUGUACUGACGCUGAGGAGCGAAAGCGUGGGGAGCGAACAGG